rnacentral:lncRNA from 1 species
AUCCACUCCCUUCUCAGCUUCUCCAGGAUGGCUAGUCCCAUGGGGCAGUGCUUGAGGGGAAGAUAAAAUAAGCCGGGGAACAUUGGCAGCUGGCGAGCCUUUCUGGAGUGGCGAGAGAGUCUGCACCUGCCAGGAGCCAGAGGAGGGGAAAGACGUCCUCACUUCUAAACACCGACGUGGAACUGUCCCCUGCACUCCCAGAGCACUGUCGCAGGUAGUGAGCUUGCCUGCAG